rnacentral:rRNA from 1 species
AACGAACGCUGGCGGCAUGCCUAACACAUGCAAGUCGAACGAGAACUUCGGGUUUCGUGGGCCACGGGUGCGUAACCGGUGGGAACCUGCCCUUAGGUUGGGAAUAACCCCCCGAAAGGGGUGCUAAUAACGGCUAAUGCCUUCGAGCAAAAGAUUUAUCCCCUUUGGGUGGGCCCGCGUUGGAUUUGCUCGUUGUGAGGGUAAAAGCCUCCCAAGGGGCCAAGCCAGGGCGGGUCUGAGAGAAUGUUAAGCCACACUGGGGCUGAGACACGGCCCAGACUCCUACGGGAGGCAGCAGUGGGGAAUAUUGGACAAUGGGCGAAAGCCUGAUCCAGCAAUGCCGCGUGAGUGAUGAAGGCCUGAGGGUUGUAAAGCUCUUUUACCCGGGAUGAUAAUGACAGUACCGGGAGAAUAAGCUCCGGCUAACUCCGUG